AGAUUGAACGCUGGCGGAAUGCUUUACACAUGCAAGUCGAACGGCAGCACGGGGGGCAACCCUGGUGGCGAGUGGCGAACGGGUGAGUAAUACAUCGGAACGUGCCCAGUCGUGGGGGGAUAACGUAGCGAAAGCUACGCUAAUACCGCAUACGAUCUACGGAUGAAAGCGGGGGAUCGCAAGACCUCGCGCGAUUGGAGCGGCCGAUGGCAGAUUAGGUAGUGGUGGGUAAAGCGUCACAAGCCGACGAUCUGUAGCUGGUCUGAGAGGACGACAGCCACACUGGGAUGAGACACGGCCCAGACCUCCGUACGGAGGCAGCGAGUGGGGAAUUUUGGACAAGUGGCGACGAACGCCUAGACUCCGAG
rnacentral:rRNA from 1 species